rnacentral:rRNA from 1 species
UACGAAGGUCCCAAGCGUUAUCCGGAUUGACUGGGCGUAAAGCGCACGCAGGCGGUCGCGCGCGUGGGGUGUGAAAUCUGGCCGCUUAACGGCCAGGCGCCAUCCCAUACGGCGCGACUGGAGUGAUGCAGAGGUCGGUGGAAUUGCCGGUGUAGUGGUGAAAUGCGUAGAGAUCGGCAGGAACACCCAGGGGGAAACCAGCCGACCGGGCAUCUACUGACGCUGAGGUGCGAGAGCGUGGGGAGCGAACCGG